CCCCUAGAUGUUCUGGGCCGCACGCGCGCUACACUGAACAGUUCAACAAGUCUUAACCUUGGCCGACAGGCUCGGGCAAUCUUUGAACGCUGGUCGUGAUGGGGAUAGACUUUUGCAAUUUUUGGUCUUCAACGAGGAAUUCCUAGUAAACGCAAGUCAUCAACUUGCAUUGAUUACGUCCCUGCCCUUUGUACACACCGCCCGUCGCACCUACCGAUUGAAUGGUCCGGUGAAGCCUCCGGAUUGGCGCGCACCUCGGUGCCGCCGAGAAGUUGGCUAAACCUUACCAUUUAGAGGAAGGUGAANUCGUAACA
rnacentral:rRNA from 1 species